AGAGUUUGAUCCUGGCUCAGAAUCAACGCUGGCGGCGUGCCUAACACAUGCAAGUCGAACGAGAAAGUGGAGCAAUCCAUGAGUAAAGUGGCGACCGGGUGAGUAACACGUGACUAACCUACCCUAGAGUGGGGGAUAACCUCGGGAAACCGGGGCUAAUACCGCAUAACAUCACGAGGGGAAGAUCCUUGUGAUCAAAGGAGCAAUUCGCUCCAGGAGGGGGUCGCGGCUGAUUAGCCAGUUGGCGGGGUAACGGCCCACCAAAGCGAAGAUCAGUAGCCGGCCUGAGAGGGCGCACGGCCACACUGGAACUGAAACACGGUCCAGACUCCUACGGGAGGCAGCAGUGGGGAAUUUUGCGCAAUGGGGGAAACCCUGACGCAGCAACGCCGCGUGGAGGAUGAAGUCCCUUGGGAUGUAAACUCCUUUCGAUCGGGACGAUAAUGACGGUACCGGAAGAAGAAGCACCGGCUAACUCUGUGCCAGCAGCCGCGGUAAUACAGAGGGUGCAAGCGUUGUUCGGAAUUAUUGGGCGUAAAGGGCGCGUAGGCGGUGCGGUAAGACUGUGGUGAAAUCUCCGGGCUC
rnacentral:rRNA from 1 species